rnacentral:lncRNA from 1 species
AACACCUUCAGAAUUCCUUCCAGUUUUUUUCCUUUAAGGGCAAACCCCUGAGAGACGACAUUAGGGAGGAUUUUCAGAAGUGGUUUACCUGCCUCCCUUCCCAAAAACAAUCCCACUUAUCAGCCAGGAAAGGCGAACGUGGGAGAACGAACUCUACUUUAUCCCACGACAGGCCCAGGGAACUCCAGAAAUAAGAGUAUGGUCUUCUCGACUGCCCAACAAAAGACAUACCAACUUUAAAAGAUGCAUUUUGGAGUUUUGCACUGUUGGACAUCCAAUUUACGUGGUUGUGAGGAGCUGCUAAGCAGUUUAUCUUCCAUCCAUUUUAACGAUCAAAACUGAAUUCCAAUGAAACCCUUAUACUGUUAGUAUUGUACUAUUCUAUAUUGCCUGUUUACAAGGUAAAAAUGGGACAAAUUUACAGCCUACUUUAUUAAAUGGGGUUGUAAACAAACUACUCUGCAUAAAAACCUACAAGUUGAGUCAGGCUUUGGGGGCAAAACACGAUGAAAUACGGGACCUGAAACCAGCCUGCCUAAGCAGGAGUAUCCUCCAACAGAUUCAAAAGAUCACAGGGAUCAAGUCAGAACAGCCUAUCCUCAGACUCAUGAAUCUAAGCCGUCCUAAAGGAGGACUUGGGCAUUGUGUGAAUUCUAAAUUAAUUUGCUUUCUUUUUCCCUUCUGCUACAGUAUAACAAACAACUGACUUUUUUUUCCCAGUUUCUAAAAGCAGCAAGGUUGGUGGUGUCGCCACGAACAUCCAAUGAAUGAUUCAUUCUCGCUCAAGUGGAACCCGUGGGAAAUGUUGCCAAUAACUUGGUUUAUUUCUUAUCUUCAGUUCUCAGCAGACAACAUAUUCGUCUAUAUUUUUACUAAGAGUCAUAAAUUUUUCAGUUAGUGUACAAAUAACAACACUACGUGAUUCCAUUUGGUCUCAGUCCUCAGGGCUUCGGAAGAAGAGAAGGAAAACUCCAUCGUCUUCAUCAACAGGGUGCGCCAUGCUUUCCGCAGCCUGCUGGAAGUCCUGGAAGAGGGUAGAGGAAAGGCAAUGUGCACAGUUGUAAACCCUUAGAUACAUUACUAAGGCAGCAGGUGGCAUUUAGCCAGAUGAUUCCAACUGACUUUCCCCACAUCAAGGCUAUUGUAGGGAACUUUCACCUGUGGGGCGCUAAGGGGCCGAAUG